rnacentral:rRNA from 1 species
GACGAACGCUGGCGGCGGGCUUAACACAUGCAAGUCGAACGGAAAGGCCCUGCUUUUGUGGUGUGCUCGAGUGGCGAACGGGUGAGUAACACGUGAGUAACCUGCCCUUGACUUUGGGAUAACUUCAGGAAACUGGGGCUAAUACCGGAUAGGAGCUCCUGCUGCAUGGUGGGGGUUGGAAAGUUUCGGCGGUCGGGGCUGGACUCGCGGCUUAUCAGCUUGUUGGUGGGGUAGUGGCUUACCAAGGCUUUGACGGGUAGCCGGCCUGAGAGGGUGACCGGCCACCUUGGGACUGAGAUACGGCCCAGACUCCUACGGGAGGCAGCAGUGGGGAAUAUUGCACAGUGGGCGGAAGCCUGAUGCAGCAACGCCGCGUGCGGGAUGACGGCCUUCGGGUUGUGAACCGCUUUCGCCUGUGACGAAGCGUGAGUGACGGUAAUGGGUAAAGAAGCACCGGCUAACUACGUG